UAACUAAAAAUUUACUUUAGUUGUUGGAAUUAUUAAUAAUUAUAUUUAAUAAAAUCAUUUUUUAAGUGUUAAGUUUGUGUAUAGGUUAUAGAUAAAAUUUUAAUAGUGAUAGUUUAAUUGUAUUGUGAAAGAUUAUUGAAAUAUUUUGAAAAUUUAUUUAUUUAAUAGUAGAUUUAAUUUAUCGUACCUUGUGUAUCAGGGUUCAUCAAUAAUUGUGUAUUUAUUUACAUAUCCCGAUUUAAAGAGAGCUAGGUGUAUUUGUUAGUUAAUGUAGAAUAAUUAUUAAUAAAAUAGAUUUAGAAAUGAAACGUUAUCCGUUCUUUAAGGUAUCUGGUUUUUUAAGAAAUGAAUUUAAUUCAGUUAUUAAAUUUUAUUGAUUUAAUUAAUUAAGUUAAUAUUAUUUAAUAAAAAUAUUUGGGGGGAUAAGCUUCUAAAUAUGAACUUAUAAAAUAAAAAUUUGGUGGAAAUUUUGUAGGCUUAGAAUUAGCCAUCAAUUUGAGGAUGUUAUAAUUUAUUUUUCAUUAAAUAUGAUUUUGUAUAAAUUUUAAGUUUUUUAUUAAAAUGUAAUUCAUAAUUAAAUAGAAUUAGUAAUAAUGAUGAAAUUAGUAUAAUAUGUUGUUAAUUAUUUUAUAAAUGUAAGGUUACAUUAAGGAAUUCGGCAAAUAAAUGCUCGCCUGUUUAACAAAAACAUGUCCUCAUGAUAAUAAUUUGAGGUCUGACCUGCCCACUGAAUAAUUAUAUUUGAAGGGCCGCGGUAUUUUGACCGUGCAAAGGUAGCAUAAUCAUUAGUCUUUUAAUUGAAGGCUUGUAUGAAUGGUUGGACGAGGUAUUGACUGUCUCAGUGUAAAUGAUAUUAAAAUUUAACUUUUAAGUCAAAAGGCUUAAAUGUAUUUAGAGGACGAGAAGACCCUAUAGAGCUUUAUAUCAUAUAUUUAUUUUUUCUUUUAGACGUAGUUUGUAGAUAGAUUAAAUGAUAUUUGGUUGGGGUGACAGGAAGAUAGAAUAAACUCUUCUUAAAAUAUGAACAUUGAUUUAUGAGUAGUUGAUCCAUUAUUAGUGAUUAUAAGACUAAGUUACCUUAGGGAUAACAGCGUAAUCUUUUUUGAGAGUUCUUAUCGACAAAAAGGGUUGCGACCUCGAUGUUGGAUUAAGGGUAAUUUUGGGUGUAGAUGUUCAAAGUUUAGGUCUGUUCGACCUUUAGAUCCUUACAUGAUCUGAGUUCAGACCGGUGUAAGCCAGGUCGGUUUCUAUCCUUAAUAAAUUAUGAUGUUUUAGUACGAAAGGACCAAACAUUGGGAAUAACUUUUCUUAAUUAAUUUGAUUAAUAUUAAUG
rnacentral:rRNA from 1 species